ensembl:snoRNA small nucleolar RNA U3
AAGACUAUAUUUUCAGGGAUCAUUUCUAUAGUUUUUUUUACUUGGAAAUGUGUUUUCGAAAGUGUUUGUCUCCCAACCCACGAUGAUGAGCUGUAAUGCUCCUUUCUGAGAGUGAAUUGAGGAUGGAACUGUGACUUUGAUCACAAGUUCUGUCACCGAUGAGUGUUCGUAUUGCUCUUUGGCAAUAUUGAAGAAAGGAGUAUGAUCUGAGUGGUU